rnacentral:ncRNA from 1 species
AGCCAAGGAGUUGAUGUUGUUGUAGGGGGGGAUUGGGGAGGACCCUUUCACAGUCCUGCAGUCUCUAAGAGUUGAGUUGUUUGGGAAUGCAGCUCAAAGUGGGUGGUAAAUUCCAUCUAAGGCUAAAUAUAGGUGAGAGACCAAUAGCAAACAAGUAAAAGUUCUU